rnacentral:rRNA from 1 species
UACGUAGGGUGCAAGCGUUGUCCGGAAUUAUUGGGCGUAAAGAGCUCGUAGGCGGUUUGUCGCGUCUGCCGUGAAAGUCCGGGGCUCAACUCCGGAUCUGCGGUGGGUACGGGCAGACUAGAGUGAUGUAGGGGGAGACGUGGAAUUCCUGGUGUAGCGGUGAAAUGCGCAGAUAUCAGGAGGAACACCGGUGGCGAAGGCGGGUCUCUGGGCAAUUCCUGACGCUGAGGAGCGAAAGCGUGGGGAGCGAACAGG